rnacentral:rRNA from 1 species
ACUCCUACGGGAGGCAGCAGUGGGGAAUAUUGGACAAUGGGGGAAACCCUGAUCCAGCAAUGCCGCGUGAGUGAUGAAGGCCUUAGGGUUGUAAAGCUCUUUUACCCGGGAUGAUAAUGACAGUACCGGGAGAAUAAGCCCCGGCUAACUCCGUGCCAGCAGCCGCGGUAAUACGGAGGGGGCUAGCGUUGUUCGGAAUUACUGGGCGUAAAGCGCGCGUAGGCGGCUUUGUAAGUUAGAGGUGAAAGCCCGGGGCUCAACCCCGGAAUUGC